rnacentral:tRNA from 1 species
GCUCUGUUAGCUCAGCGGUAGAGCAGACGACUCAUAAUCGUUUAGUCGCUGGUUCGAAUCCAGCACGGAGCA